GGUUAAGCGACUAAGCGUACACGGUGGAUGCCCUGGCAGUCAGAGGCGAUGAAGGACGUGCUAAUCUGCGAAAAGCGUCGGUAAGGUGAUAUGAACCGUUAUAACCGGCGAUGUCCGAAUGGGGAAACCCAGUGUGAUUCGUCACACUAUCGUUAACUGAAUACAUAGGUUAACGAGGCGAACCGGGGGAACUGAAACAUCUAAGUACCCCGAGGAAAAGAAAUCAACCGAGAUUCCCCCAGUAGCGGCGAGCGAACGGGGAGCAGCCCAGAGUCUGAAUCAGCUUGUGUGUUAGUGGAACGGUCUGGAAAGUCCGACGGUACAGGGUGAUAGUCCCGUACACCAAAAUGCACAGGCUGUGAACUCGAAGAGUAGGGCGGGACACGUGGUAUCCUGUCUGAAUAUGGGGGGACCAUCCUCCAAGGCUAAAUACUCCUGACUGACCGAUAGUGAACCAGUACCGUGAGGGAAAGGCGAAAAGAACCCCGGCGAGGGGAGUGAAAAAGAACCUGAAACCGUGUACGUACAAGCAGUGGGAGCACCUUCGGGUGUGACUGCGUACCUUUUGUAUAAUGGGUCAGCGACUUAUAUUCUGUAGCAAGGUUAACCGUAUAGGGGAGCCGCAGGGAAACCGAGUCUUAACUGGGCGUUAAGUUGCAGGGUAUAGACCCGAAACCCGGUGAUCUAGCCAUGGGCAGGUUGAAGGUUGGGUAACACUAACUGGAGGACCGAACCGACUAAUGUUGAAAAAUUAGCGGAUGACUUGUGGCUGGGGGUGAAAGGCCAAUCAAACCGGGAGAUAGCUGGUUCUCCCCGAAAGCUAUUUAGGUAGCGCCUCGUGAAUUCAUCUUCGGGGGUAGAGCACUGUUUCGGCUAGGGGGUCAUCCCGACUUACCAACCCGAUGCAAACUACGAAUACCGAAGAAUGUUAUCACGGGAGACACACGGCGGGUGCUAACGUCCGUCGUGAAGAGGGAAACAACCCAGACCGCCAGCUAAGGUCCCAAAGUCAUGGUUAAGUGGGAAACGAUGUGGGAAGGCACAGACAGCCAGGAUGUUGGCUUAGAAGCAGCCAUCAUUUAAAGAAAGCGUAAUAGCUCACUGGUCGAGUCGGCCUGCGCGGAAGAUGUAACGGGGCUAAACCAUGCACCGAAGCUGCGGCAGCGACACUAUGUGUUGUUGGGUAGGGGAGCGUUCUGUAAGCCUGCGAAGGUGACCUGUGAGGGUUGCUGGAGGUAUCAGAAGUGCGAAUGCUGACAUAAGUAACGAUAAAGCGGGUGAAAAGCCCGCUCGCCGGAAGACCAAGGGUUCCUGUCCAACGUUAAUCGGGGCAGGGUGAGUCGACCCCUAAGGCGAGGCCGAAAGGCGUAGUCGAUGGGAAACAGGUUAAUAUUCCUGUACUUGGUGUUACUGCGAAGGGGGGACGGAGAAGGCUAUGUUAGCCGGGCGACGGUUGUCCCGGUUUAAGCAUGUAGGCUGGUUGUCCAGGCAAAUCCGGAUAAUCAAGGCUGAGGUGUGAUGACGAGGCACUACGGUGCUGAAGUAACAAAUGCCCUGCUUCCAGGAAAAGCCUCUAAGCAUCAGGUAACAUUAAAUCGUACCCCAAACCGACACAGGUGGUCAGGUAGAGAAUACCAAGGCGCUUGAGAGAACUCGGGUGAAGGAACUAGGCAAAAUGGUGCCGUAACUUCGGGAGAAGGCACGCUGGUGUGUAGGUGAAGCCCCUGCGGGUGGAGCUGAGACCAGUCGAAGAUACCAGCUGGCUGCAACUGUUUAUUAAAAACACAGCACUGUGCAAACACGAAAGUGGACGUAUACGGUGUGACGCCUGCCCGGUGCCGGAAGGUUAAUUGAUGGGGUUAUCCGUAAGGAGAAGCUCUUGAUCGAAGCCCCGGUAAACGGCGGCCGUAACUAUAACGGUCCUAAGGUAGCGAAAUUCCUUGUCGGGUAAGUUCCGACCUGCACGAAUGGCGUAAUGAUGGCCAGGCUGUCUCCACCCGAGACUCAGUGAAAUUGAACUCGCUGUGAAGAUGCAGUGUACCCGCGGCAAGACGGAAAGACCCCGUGAACCUUUACUAUAGCUUGACACUGAACAUUGAGCCUUGAUGUGUAGGAUAGGUGGGAGGCUUUGAAGCGUGGACGCCAGUCUGCGUGGAGCCAACCUUGAAAUACCACCCUUUAAUGUUUGAUGUUCUAACGUUGGCCCCUGACCGGGGUUGCGGACAGUGUCUGGUGGGUAGUUUGACUGGGGCGGUCUCCUCCCAAAGCGUAACGGAGGAGCACGAAGGUUAGCUAAUCCUGGUCGGACAUCAGGAGGUUAGUGCAAUGGCAUAAGCUAGCUUGACUGCGAGCGUGACGGCGCGAGCAGGUGCGAAAGCAGGUCAUAGUGAUCCGGUGGUUCUGAAUGGAAGGGCCAUCGCUCAACGGAUAAAAGGUACUCCGGGGAUAACAGGCUGAUACCGCCCAAGAGUUCAUAUCGACGGCGGUGUUUGGCACCUCGAUGUCGGCUCAUCACAUCCUGGGGCUGAAGUAGGUCCCAAGGGUAUGGCUGUUCGCCAUUUAAAGUGGUACGCGAGCUGGGUUUAGAACGUCGUGAGACAGUUCGGUCCCUAUCUGCCGUGGGCGCUGGAGAAUUGAGGGGGGCUGCUCCUAGUACGAGAGGACCGGAGUGGACGCAUCACUGGUGUUCGGGUUGUCAUGCCAAUGGCACUGCCCGGUAGCUAAAUGCGGAAGAGAUAAGUGCUGAAAGCAUCUAAGCACGAAACUUGCCCCGAGAUGAGUUCUCCCUGAGACUUUAAGUCUCCUGAAGGAACGUUGAAGACGAUGACGUUGAUAGGCCGGGUGUGUAAGCGCAGCGAUGCGUUGAGCUAACCGGUACUAAUGAACCGUGAGGCUUAACCUU
rnacentral:rRNA from 1 species